GUCGAACGGAAAGGCCCUUCGGGGUACUCGAGUGGCGAACGGGUGAGUAACACGUGGGUGAUCUGCCCUGCACUUUGGGAUAAGCCUGGGAAACUGGGUCUAAUACCGAAUAUGACCGCGCACUUCCUGGUGUGUGGUGGAAAGCUUUUGCGGUGUGGGAUGGGCCCGCGGCCUAUCAGCUUGUUGGUGGGGUAAUGGCCUACCAAGGCGACGACGGGUAGCCGGCCUGAGAGGGUGACCGGCCACACUGGGACUGAGAUACGGCCCAGACUCCUACGGGAGGCAGCAGUGGGGAAUAUUGCACAAUGGGCGCAAGCCUGAUGCAGCGACGCCGCGUGAGGGAUGACGGCCUUCGGGUUGUAAACCUCUUUCAAUAGGGACGAAGCGCAAGUGACGGUACCUAUAGAAGAAGGACCGGCCAACUACGUGCCAGCAGCCGCGGUAAUACGUAGGGUCCGAGCGUUGUCCGGAAUUACUGGGCGUAAAGAGCUCGUAGGUGGUUUGUCGCGUUGUUCGUGAAAACUCACAGCUUAACUGUGGGCGUGCGGGCGAUACGGGCAGACUAGAGUACUGCAGGGGAGACUGGAAUUCCUGGUGUAGCGGUGGAAUGCGCAGAUAUCAGGAGGAACACCGGUGGCGAAGGCGGGUCUCUGGGCAGUAACUGACGCUGAGGAGCGAAAGCGUGGGGAGCGAACAGGAUUAGAUACCCUGGUAGUCCACGCCGUAAACGGUGGGUACUAGGUGUGGGUUUCCUUCCUUGGGAUCCGUGCCGUAGCUAACGCAUUAAGUACCCCGCCUGGGGAGUACGGCCGCAAGGCUAAAACUCAAAGAAAUUGACGGGGGCCCGCACAAGCGGCGGAGCAUGUGGAUUAAUUCGAUGCAACGCGAAGAACCUUACCUGGGUUUGACAUGCACAGGACGCCAGUAGAGAUAUUGGUUCCCUUGUGGCCUGUGUGCAGGUGGUGCAUGGCUGUCGUCAGCUCGUGUCGUGAGAUG
rnacentral:rRNA from 1 species